rnacentral:pre_miRNA from 14 species
GGCAGCACCGAGCCCUCACAUGUUCCGGGUUUCGCGACGACUGAACCGUAUGAACCAUAAGACGGGUUCGUUGUCGACGAAACCUGCAUGAUGUGGGGGUAAAACAACAG